rnacentral:rRNA from 1 species
GAGUUAUCUGAACCUUCGGGGGACGAUAACGGCGUCGAGCGGCGGACGGGUGAGUAAUGCCUAGGAAAUUGCCCUGAUGUGGGGGAUAACCAUUGGAAACGAUGGCUAAUACCGCAUGAUGCCUACGGGCCAAAGAGGGGGACCUUCGGGCCUCUCGCGUCAGGAUAUGCCUAGGUGGGAUUAGCUAGUUGGUGAGGUAAGGGCUCACCAAGGCGACGAUCCCUAGCUGGUCUGAGAGGAUGAUCAGCCACACUGGAACUGAGACACGGUCCAGACUCCUACGGGAGGCAGCAGUGGGGAAUAUUGCACAAUGGGCGCAAGCCUGAUGCAGCCAUGCCGCGUGUAUGAAGAAGGCCUUCGGGUUGUAAAGUACUUUCAGUCGUGAGGAAGGUAGUGUAGUUAAUAGCUGCAUUAUUUGACGUUAGCGACAGAAGAAGCACCGGCUAACUCCGUGCCAGCAGCCGCGGUAAUACGGAGGGUGCGAGCGUUAAUCGGAAUUACUGGGCGUAAAGCGCAUGCAGGUGGUUUGUUAAGUCAGAUGUGAAAGCCCGGGGCUCAACCUCGGAAUUGCAUUUGAAACUGGCAGACUAGAGUACUGUAGAGGGGGGUAGAAUUUCAGGUGUAGCGGUGAAAUGCGUAGAGAUCUGAAGGAAUACCGGUGGCGAAGGCGGCCCCCUGGACAGAUACUGACACUCAGAUGCGAAAGCGUGGGGAGCAAACAGGAUUAGAUACCCUGGUAGUCCACGCCGUAAACGAUGUCUACUUGGAGGUUGUGGCCUUGAGCCGUGGCUUUCGGAGCUAACGCGUUAAGUAGACCGCCUGGGGAGUACGGUCGCAAGAUUAAAACUCAAAUGAAUUGACGGGGGCCCGCACAAGCGGUGGAGCAUGUGGUUUAAUUCGAUGCAACGCGAAGAACCUUACCUACUCUUGACAUCCAGAGAACUUUCCAGAGAUGGAUUGGUGCCUUCGGGAACUCUGAGACAGGUGCUGCAUGGCUGUCGUCAGCUCGUGUUGUGAAAUGUUGGGUUAAGUCCCGCAACGAGCGCAACCCUUAUCCUUGUUUGCCAGCGAGUAAUGUCGGGAACUCCAGGGAGACUGCCGGUGAUAAACCGGAGGAAGGUGGGGACGACGUCAAGUCAUCAUGGCCCUUACGAGUAGGGCUACACACGUGCUACAAUGGCGCAUACAGAGGGCGGCCAACUUGCGAAAGUGAGCGAAUCCCAAAAAGUGCGUCGUAGUCCGGAUUGGAGUCUGCAACUCGACUCCAUGAAGUCGGAAUCGCUAGUAAUCGUGGAUCAGAAUGCCACGGUGAAUACGUUCCCGGGCCUUGUACACACCGCCCGUCACACCAUGGGAGUGGGCUGCAAAAGAAGUAGGUAGU